AAGUCGUAACAAGGUCUCCGUAGGUGAACCUGCGGAGGGAUCAUUAAAGAAUUGAACAGCGGCGUGCCUCCGGGCGCGACUGCUGCCUCUUCUAACCCUUUGUGAACCACAACUCUGUUGCUUCGGGGGCGACCCCGCCGUCUCGGCGGUGGUGCCCCCGGUGGCCACCAAUCAAACUCUGCAUCUCUUGCGUCGGAGUCUUAAAGAAAUUUAAACAAAACUUUCAACAACGGAUCUCUUGGUUCUG
rnacentral:misc_RNA from 1 species